UGGACGGAAGUGUAAUGAG
rnacentral:miRNA from 1 species